AUUGAACGCUGGCGGCAGGCCUAACCCAUGCAAGUCGAACGAGUGGCGGACGGGUGAGUAAUGUCUGGGAAACUGCCUGAUGGAGGGGGCUAACUACUGGAAACGGUAGCUAAUACCGCAUACCAUCAGAUGUGCCCAGAUGGGAUUAGCUAGUUGGUGGGGUAACGGCUCACCAAGGCGACGAUCCCUAGCUGGUCUGAGAGGAUGACCAGCCACACUGGAACUGAGACACGUACCAGACUCCUACGGGAGGCAGCAUGGGGGAAGAUUGCACAAUGGGCGCAAGCCUGAUGCAGCCAUGCCGCGUGUAUGAAGAAGGCCUUCGGGUUGUAAAGUACUUUCAGCGGGGAGGCGUUACCCGCAGAAGAAGCACCGGCUAACUCCGUGCCAGCAGCCGCGGUAAUUC
rnacentral:rRNA from 1 species